GGAGGAAAAGAAACCAACAGGGAUUGCCUCAGUAACGGCGAGUGAAGCGGCAACAGCUCAAAUUUGAAAUCUGGUCCUUUUAGGGCUCGAGUUGUAAUUUGUAGAAGAUGCUUUGGGCAUGGCUCCGGUCUAAGUUCCUUGGAACAGGACGUCAUAGAGGGUGAGAAUCCCGUAUGCGACUGGCCGCCUCUGUCCGUGUAAAGCUCUUUCGACGAGUCGAGUUGUUUGGGAAUGCAGCUCAAAAUGGGUGGUAUAUUUCAUCUAAAGCUAAAUAUUGGCCAGAGACCGAUAGCGCACAAGUAGAGUGAUCGAAAGAUGAAAAGCACUUUGGAAAGAGAGUUAAACAGUACGUGAAAUUGUUGAAAGGGAAGCGCUUGCAACCAGACUUGCACGCUGUCGAUCAUCUGGGGUUUUCUCCAGUGCACUCGGUAGUGUUCAGGCCAGCAUCGGUUUGGGUGGUUGGAUAAAGACCUUGGGAAUGUGGCUCCUCUCGGGGAGUGUUAUAGCCCUCGGUGCAAUGCAGCCUACCCGGACCGAGGACCGCGCUUCGGCUAGGAUGCUGGCGUAAUGGUUGUAAGCGACCCGUCU
rnacentral:rRNA from 1 species